rnacentral:rRNA from 1 species
CUGGCUCAGGAUGAACGCUGGCGGCGUGCUUAACACAUGCAAGUCGAACGAAGCAGUUAUCACGAUCCCUUCGGGGUGACGAUUACUGACUGAGUGGCGGACGGGUGAGUAACGCGUGGGUAACCUGCCUUGUACAGGGGGACAACAGUUGGAAACGACUGCUAAUACCGCAUAAGCGCACAGCUUCGCAUGAAGCAGUGUGAAAAGUAUUUUCGGUACAAGAUGGACCCCGCGUCUGAUUAGCUAGUUGGUGAGGUAACGGCCCACCAAGGCGACGAUCAGUAGCCGACCUGAGAGGGUGACCGGCCACAUUGGGACUGAGACACGGCCCAAACUCCUACGGGAGGCAGCAGUGGGGAAUAUUGCACAAUGGGCGAAAGCCUGAUGCAGCCGACGCCGCGUGAGCGAAGAAGUAUUUCGGUAUGUAAAGCUCUAUCAGCAGGGAAGAUAAUGACGGUACCUGACUAAGAAGCACCGGCUAAAUACGUGCCAGCCGCGGC